UCACGUCUUACGACGGCAGUUUCACUAGAGUUCCCAGCGUUACCUGAUGGCAACUAGUGAUGGGGGUUGCGCUCGUUGCGGGACUUAACCCAACACCUCACGGCACGAGCUGACGACAACCAUGCAGCACCUUGUAAUUUGUGUAUUGCUACAAAGACCCCUUUCAGGAUCGGUCAAACUACAUUCUAGCCUAGGUAAGGUUCCUCGCGUAUCAUCGAAUUAAGCCACAUGCUCCACCGCUUGUGCGGACCCCCGCCAAUUCCUUUGAGUUUCAACCUUGCGGUCGUACUUCCCAGGUGGUAAACUUCACGCGUUAGCUGCGUUACUAAGGGAGGUAAGUCCCCCAACAACUAGUUGACAUCGUUUAGGGCGUGGACUAC
rnacentral:misc_RNA from 1 species